rnacentral:rRNA from 1 species
UACGUAGGGUGCAAGCGUUGUCCGGAAUUAUUGGGCGUAAAGAGCUCGUAGGUGGCCUGUCGCGUCGGCUGUGAAAACUCGGGGCUCAACUCCGAGCUUGCAGUCGAUACGGGCAGGCUAGAGUUCGGCAGGGGAGACUGGAAUUCCUGGUGUAGCGGUGAAAUGCGCAGAUAUCAGGAGGAACACCGAUGGCGAAGGCAGGUCUCUGGGCCACUACUGACGCUGAGGCACGAAAGCGUGGGGAGCAAACAGG